AAUAAUAAUUCAACAAUAUUGAUAUCAUAUUAUUUUUAACAUUAUGGAUAUAAUUUAAUUUAACACUUGCAAAAUGAUUAAAUUUUCUGGUUCUAGUUCUAAAUAGUUUUUAUCAUUUAUUUUCGUAAUGCAUCCUAGCCUACUUCGCAAUGUCGAUAAUCAGAAAAACCGUCUGCUUCAACUCUCAAGCUUAUCAGUUAUCACAACCAAAGUAAAACUUAAAAGCUGCUAUGGAAAGAUCAAACAAAAAAGCUGGUAAAAUGCAGUUCAUUAAAAGUUUUUACAACGACCCUUUUAGAUGGUCGUUGGUGAAGAGCGUGGCUUUGUUCGCCUUGGGAGUAAAGAUUGCACGCGAGUGUGUCGACAUGGACUUAAUGGCUCCUCAAAUGCAAUAACUACGUUAAUUGACAAACAGUUUAAUAAUAAAAACAAAAUUGCAUAAUA